CUCCAGUUGGGUCAACAUCUCAUAUGUCAAGCCUGAUUCAACAUAUAUCAUCAUUAAAACAUUUCAUAAAGAUCAUGUACCAAAAGGGAUUAACCAUACAUUAGGGCCAAGCACAAUACUAAUCCUCAUUACAUUACUGAACAAUACCUUAUAUUACAUUACAAGUCCACUACUAAUCUAUUACAUAGACUAUACCAUAACCUUGCUGACUUUCCCAUAGCUACCUGAGCUCCUGCAAACCUGGGGGUUAGGGGAAAGGGGUGAGCUACAAAAGCCUAGUGAGCAGAAUAGUAAAAACAAUUUAAUAAACAUAUGCUUUCAUGGAAUGCAUCACAACACAAACAAUUUACAUCACGGAUGGACUGACCCAAAAAUCCCUCUACUCUGUGUCCGGCCCUAGAUGGAGCUCCUCAGGACUUCUAUUACAUAACAUAAGCUCUGUGCCAGGGGCGUAGUGCAGGCCACACCUGGUCUUUCCUGUACUCUGUGCCAGGGGCGUAGAAUGGCAGCCCUGGUCUUUCAUUACAUAACAUAAUAUCUAGAGGGCUAAUGGGUCGUCCUAUUAUCCAUCCACAUCAACAACCAAUUAUACAAUGCGGCAUAUUCGUGAAAUCUAAUGCAUCCAACCUAUUUUAUAUACAUGAUGCAUGAACAUGCUUAAAACAUUUGAUUUCUUGAAAUAAAAGAUUAGUUUAGUUCUACUCACCUCUGGCUGACUCUGAACUAACUCUGAAGCAGCUAUCUCACUGUUGGUCACCUCGGUUCCUCAGGUUUGAUCCUACACAGGUGGACUCAAAUGAGGGACCAAACAUACUCUAACAUGACUCUAAUAUCUCCCCAAAAAACCCCCUAAAACAUCAUAAACAUGCAUGGAAAAACAGGCAAAGGAAGACUGGGCAGGGGACUUUCGGCGGCAGGUUCGGCGACCAAAGGUCCCCACAGAGCCGAAAGUCAAGUACUUUCGGGGGCAGGGUUCAGUGGCCGAAGGUCCUUCCAGAGCCGAAAUUCACAACCUUCGGGGGCAGGUUCGGCGGCCGAAACUCCCCUCCAGAGCUGAAAGUACAAACUUUCGGGGGCGAGUUUAGGCGGCCAAAAUUGCCUCCCCUGGUAGGUUCGGCGGCUGAACCUUGCUUCGGCGGCCGAACCUGGAUCCUCCUGGGUGGCAGAACCCGAUUCUGCCAUCCCACAUUCAGCCAUCCCAACUUCCCAACAUGCAUUCAACUAGUCUAAAACAUGCAUAAACACUUAUUCAAGCAUAUAGGGGCAUAAAACUAGCCUAAACCCCAACAAACAUCAACAUAGCAUCACAUAAACAUACAUUUACCAUUUAACUAACAUAAACCCUAACAUUUUACAACUAGCCUAAAAAUGCAUCAAAACCCCUUAACCCUUCAUAAAACUUACUUAAAAACAUAAGAGAAGAUGAGGAUCGACACUUAUCUCUUAAAGAUCGAGAGGAGAUGCGAUCCCAAACUUAGAGAUAUGGAGGAACGAGCUCCGGGGGUCUCCAAGCUUCAAAACUUUGAUCUUAGCUUAAAAUCUUCAAAACAUGGUAAAAACUCAUAAAAAUCUUGAAGGAUUUGAGGAGAAAACACGAGAUCAUCAAGGGGGUGGCGGAGACUCACCUUGUCCGGAAAUAGAGCGAGAAAACUCACCCAUUUUCGGAUAGGGAACCUUUUAUAGGUGGCUGGCCAGACCACCUUUGGAGGCCAAAAGUGCCUCCGUAACUCCACCAUGUUCGGCGGCCGAAUCUGGGUUUCUCCUCCAAAAUAUUUUCUUUCAAAACUCAAUUUUCUUUCUUCAUUAAAACCAUAAAACAUAUCAAAACAUUUUAGAAAACCUUUAUUUUACCCUUCUAGAAGGCUCCGACAUCCGAGAAAUUCCAGAUUCCAAUGGAGAUUCCGCCGAAAGGUAGGAAUUCCGAUGCCGGGGUCUAGCUGGGUAUUACAGAGCUGCAGAUCCCCACUCACUAGGUUCAAUUCAAUGAUGAAAACAUCAGUGGUGAGAAAUUGAAGAGCAACUUGGAUACCCUAAAGAAAAUCAGGGAUGAAGCACAAGUGUGAACAACUGCUUAUCAGCAAAAAAGCAGCUUGGUACUACAACCAGAAAGUCUGGGAGAGAAACUUGAAGGUUAGGGACUUAGCCCUGAGGAUACUAGAAGCCACAGGAAAAGUGGUUGAUGUAGGAAAGCUAACACCAACCUAGGAAGGACCGUUUAGAGUCGCCAAAGUCAUCAGAUCGGGAGUAUAUAGAAUCGAAGAUUUGCAGGAGAAUCCAGAACCUCACGCCUGCAACAUCCAGUAUUUGAAGAGGUAGUUUCCAUAAGAUUUACAAUGUAACUAUUAUAGUGAGGAUAUGAAUAAAAAACUUCUUUUCUAUUCUCAAAAUACUCUUGAAAAGCGAUGAAGACCUCAAUGAGGUAAGUGACCAAUCUCAAAAAUAAGACCGCCGGUACUACAAAAUCGGUUGAGGAGAUGAAGACCUCAAUAAGAUAAGUGACUGGUCUCGAAAAUAAGACUGUCCACACCACAAAACUGAUUGAGGAGAUGAAUACCUCAAUGAGGUAGGUGACGGGUCUUGAAAAUAAGCUAGCCAGCACCACAAAGUUGGCCAGCACCAUAAAACUAGUUGAGGAGAUGAAGAGCUCAAUGAGGUAGGUGACCGGUCUUAGAAAUAAUAUCGUCGGCACCAUAAAAUUGAUUGAAGAGAUGAAGACCUUAAUGAGGUAAGUGAUUGGUCUCGAAAAUAGGCUGCCAACACCACAAAACCAAUUGAGAAAAUGAAGACCUCAAUGAGGUGGGUGAUCAAUCUUGGAAAUAGAUUGUCGACACUACAAAAUCGAUUGAGGAAAUGAAGACCUCAAUGAGGUGGGUGACUGGUCUCGAAAACAGACUGCUAGCACCACAAAACCAAUUGAGAAAAUAAAGACCUCAAUGAGGUGGAUGACUAGUCUCGAAAACAAAUCGCCGGCACCACAAAAUUGAUUGAGGAGUUAAAGACCAUGCUAAAGGCCCAUACUAGCAAAAAUAUAAGCCAAAAGAAAAAAAACCCAGGGUGUCGACCUCAUAAAAUGACCUCGGCACCAAGGCCCAUACUAGCAAAAAUAUAGGCCAAAAGAAAUAAAGGCAGGGUGCCGACCUCACAAAAUGACCUCGGCACCAAGGCCCAUAUUAGCAAAAACAUAAGCCAAAAGAAAUAAACGCAUGGUGUUGACCUCACAAUAAGACCUUGGCACUCUCAAGGCAAAACCAAAAUAAAACUAAGGCCAGGAACUGACUCCUGAAAUGGACCUCGAUCCUGUGAAUAUCAAAUUGCAAAUAAGGAAAAAAUACAACUUUGGAACAAUAUAAACCAAGACAGAGCUGCAUGAAAACUAAAGGCAAUCUUAGGAAAUGCCAACCUCAAAAACUAACCUCUAGCACUAAAUUAGCUCAAAGAAAGAGCUCACAACCCGACCAUCUAAAGGCACUAGAGGAGUAGAAGGCAUAAAAUCUAACGCGUUCAAUAAACAGAAUCCAAAACGCAAUAAGUUAUAUGUUUUUACUGGCAAAACAUCAAACGAGUGGCUAGCUCGGCAUUGCUCACAAACAAUAUAUGAAAAAAUAAUUUAAGUAUGGAAAUACAAACAAAAUCUAAAUAGACGGAAAAAUAAAAGCAAGCAACUGGAAAAUAACAAAAAGGUUCAGAAUUUUUAUUAAUCACUCUUUCCCUACACCAUUCGAAUGGGUUACAAAAGCAGCAAGGGAAGGGAGAGCAAAACUAACUAGGUCAUUUACAAGAUUGCCCUCCUGCAGUCCAAGGGGCAAGGAAGGGGGAUUCUUGAGCAGGGGAUUAUUGUCCUCUCUGUAGCAAACCUCCUCACAGUCGAAAUCGAGUUCGAGGGCUCAUAGGUCAGCCAAUGGAGUGGAGGGGGCAUCACAAGCAGCUUUGAGGCCCUGGUUAAAGCCUAAAGCGAACAUGCAAAAAGCCUCCUUAUAUAUUCUUUCCUUUAACUCUGCCAAGCCCUUAUACUCCUCCAACCGUGCUUCGCAAGCCUAUUGAAUUUUCUCCUUUAGCUCUGAGAGUCCUUGAACUCCUGCAGCCGCACUUCACAGGCCCACUGAACUCUGUCCUCUACAGCCCGAACAUCCCUUAAUAAGGAGGCACACCUCUCCUUUAUGGCAGAAACCUCUUGGCAGAGUUCCCGCUACUGAAGUCAAGACUCCUCCGCUGCUGAGGUCAUGCCCUUCAAGUCCUUGAUGUGUUUGUUAAGCUCAUGCUAGAGGACAGUAGCACAAGUCAAGGCCUCAUCGCGCUAUGCCCAAGCCUCAUCGCGUUGACGAUGAAUCUCCUCCAAAGCAGAUAACUGCAUGAGGGCUUCAUCUCGCUAAGACUCCACCGCAGAAGCCUGUUGGGAAGCUUUGGAAACCUCCUCCCUAUCUCCCCCAACUACUUGGUCAGGUCUUUGAUUUGCCUCCGGAACUCAAUAAUGUGCCCACGAGCCUCAUUAGUGGCAACCAGAUUCUCGUCCCGACAUGCCUCAGCAAUGCGCUCGUCCAUCAAGCUCUGGAGAGACCAAUUUCGAGCAUUGAUCUCCAUGAAUAUGCCAAAGGACUAUCAUACAAAAGAAAAAGUAAAGUUUGAAAAGCUAGAAACUCAAAAACGCUUUGAAAAAAGUCAAACAACUUACCAUGAGGAACAUCUCUCUUAAACUGUCCCCGAGAUCCUCUAGGGAACGCGAGCUAAAAGCCACCUGCUGCUUAGUGGCCCAAGUCAGAUGACUAAUGAGCGCCAUAAAACAAGGGUCAAAAGCAUCCAGGACCCCUCAAACAUCUUACUACUCAGCAUCUCAGCCACGAGAGCUGGCUUUGACUCUAUGGUCACCUCAAUCACAUUUAACAACUCAUUGUCUAGGUUAGACAACAAGUACAUUACCACCAUUUUCCCCUCAUCAAUGGGAAGGGAAAGGGCUGCCUCUAUAGGUUCUGAAGUCUGGGCACAUUUAGCAGCCCUGCCUUUGAUUGUGAUAGCACUCACAGCUUGAAUGGGUGGGACAUCCAAGGGAGCAGUUCUGAUGCCCUCUUUCUAGCUACUCUCAAUCAACUCGCUAAUCGCGAUAGGCUCUUUAGGAACUUCCUUUGGAGCGGAAGGAGCCUUGGAAGAAGCCGGCGCUUUAGGAGAGACCGACGUCUUAGAAGUCGUUGAACGAGAGCCUCUGACACGGGCACUAAAGCCAGAGAAGGUGCAGGGGUAGGAGCAGAAUGACAAGCUGAAGAUGCGAGAUCUGUGGCAUGAAAAACAUCUUUGGUCACAUCAGCUAUAGACUUGUUGGCCUCAAAGGCGGCCAGAGUCUCCUUCGCUCUCCUAGUAUAGAGUGAAGUCCUUGAAAAGCUUGAUGGAACCUAUUGGCAUGGCAGAAGCUGAAAAGGAAAUAUCAGUCCAGUCAGAGCUCGAAACAACAAAAGAAAAAUAUAAAAAGAAAGAAAACUAAAAAAAAUACCAGCUUUCCGACAGUCCUGCAGGUUAGACAUAAAUAUGCACUUCUCGGCGUCAUAUUUAUUCUUUACAUAGGUCAGUUGGAGAAAGCAAAUUCGGUCUACUAGACUUAACCUAGGAAGUUAUUACAGUCCUAAGGAAUUUCUCUCCAAGAGAGGUUGAUAUCCCAGUUAACCCUUGAGCUUUCCUUUCCUUUAGCUCGACAACCACAAAAUUAUCUACCCAACCUUUAAUCAAGUCCUUGUACCUUGUGAAUAUAAAUAACCUAGCCCGAGGACAAAAAUAGCAAAAUCCAUGGGUAGACCUAACUAGGUGGAAGAAAGUACAAACAACUCGAUAGAAAGGACAAAACUCUAACACAGACAGAUGGACUCAAAAUAGCACAUGAAUAGAAUAGAGUUAGGGGACAACAUUCGUGGAAUCACCCUAAAAUGACGGAAAACCUCGAUAAAGAAAAGGGUAAAAGGAAAGGUCAGCCUAAAGUCACGCUGUUUGACGAAAAAAACCAAGUUACCCCCUGCUGAGUGUCUAUCAGGUUCGUCGGCAGUGGGUAAGGGAGAACAAUUCAUUCAUUGGGCAAAGGAGCUCCAAUUUUAAAAAUAAUGGUGUUAGAAUAGUCACGGAAAAAAUAGUGUCAGAAGAAGGAAGGAGUAACAGAGGACACCAGACUCACUACAUUGGGAAUUCUAAUAGAAGCCAUGAGAGGAGUAAGACGUACCUCGAAUUAAAAAAUCAUGGAUUAUAGAGAAAAAAAAGAGCAAGAUAGCAGAAGCAGCGCAAGAGGCAGAGUAACGAGUGAAAGCAAGAGCAUAAGUUUGAAAUAGAUAAAGGUAAAGAAGAGACAUUUUGACAGAAUUCUUCUAGAGUCGUGCGAUAAUAAUUGAAAUCUCAAAAUUUACCCGCUCAUAAAUCAUGAGAUAAUUAAUAAGCAGGUAAAUGGGCAUUUGAUAACGACCGGGCCCUGGACGCUCAAGCUGUGGCUAAGCCCGGACUAGAAAGGCUGGGCCUUAGUUUUAUUAGGGUCCAAUACAUGGGCCUACUCCUUGUACAAGUCCUGGACUUGUCCUGACGAGUCGGCCAAGGCACGGACCUACAUGUGGGGGACCUAGCCUCAGAUAUCUGUUAGCCCCAUGGGGCAACAAACUCCGUGAUACUCAGAAUCGUGUCCAAAUAGUACCGGAUGGAAUUAAAUGGCCGUCUGACGAUAGGAAAGGAUGCAGUAUAUCUAUAUGUACGGUCAAUAUGACUAUGAUAGGAUUAUAUGAACGCAGAACAGCGGUUACACAUCGAUAGAAGAAAAAAAAGAAUAAAAAAAUAAAUUAUGAAAUAAUUAAUAAGCAGGUAAAGGGGCAGUUGAUAACGAUCGGGCCCUGGACGCUCAAGCCGUGGCUAAGCCCGAGCUAGAAAGACUGGGCCUUUGUUUUAUUAGGGUCCAAUACAUGGGCCUACUACUUGUACAAGUCAUGGACUUGUCCUGGCAAGUCGGCCAAGGCACGGACCUACAUGUGGGGGACCUGGCUUCAGAUAUCUGUUAGCCUCAUGGGGCAACAAACUCCGUGAUAUUCAGAAUCGUGUCCAAGUAGUACCGAAUGAAAUUAAAUGGCCGUCUGACGAUAGGAAAGAAUGCAGUAUAUCUAUAUGUACGGCUAAUAUGACUAUGAUAGGAUUAUAUGAACGCAGGACAACGGUUACACAUCGAUAGAGAAAAAAAAUAAAAAAAAAUAAAAGAAGAGAGACAAACCAAAUUUACUAAAAUAUAUUUUCAAUCUAAUCUCUUACGACGAUUAAUAUUUAUAAUAGAUAUAUAUGUCUCAACUUUUUAAGAAUAUUUGGCGAUCAAACACAAUAUGCAAUGAAAGAUUACAUACAAGUAAGAGGUGUGAUGUAGAUAUGUAGAGGAAGUGUAAAGUCACAAGAUAUAAUUUUAAAAAUAAAUAAAUAAAUAAAUAAUAUAUAUAUAUAUGACAGAUACGAAAAAGUAAUUUUGCAUUUUUUAUUUUGCCCCACUUGCCCACAAAGAAGGCAGUUUUCAUCUCUAUCCCUCCCUGAAUAAUUUUUCUGAUGACAGUUGAGGAAAUUUGGUAAGAUAUGAUUGUGUGGCUUUAAUGUUUUGUUUUUGUUGUGAAAGGGGCGAGGCAAAUGUUUUUGGGUCCACUAGCUUUUUUUUUCUUCUAAAUUGUCUAAAAGAGAGAUUUGUCAAACCAUGGUCGGUGGAGAAAGUUAUUUCGAAUUUUGGGGAGAGGAAAAAAAUUUCAGAUUCUUUUUCACUUUCAGAUUGGAUGGUUGAAUUUGUAUCAGCCGUAGUAUCAAGCUAUUAAUAAAAAAAUAAUAAUUUGUUUCAACAGUGCUAUCACGCUAUUAAUAAAAAAAUAAUAAUUUUUUUUAUAUCUAUUAAAAAUAUUAAUAUAAAAAUUAUAUUAUAAAAUAUUAAUUUAAUAUAAAUUAAAUUAUAUAUUCAAAAUAAAAAUAAGUGGCUUUUAAAAAAAUAAAAUAAAAAUAAGUAAAAUUACAAUAUAUUUUUUAUAUUUUUAAAUUAAUAAUUAUAUUUUAAUUAUUACUAUAUGUAUUUUUUAUGAUAUUAAAAAAUUACCGUUAUUUAUUAAAAAAAUAUUAUAUAUAUUAUUUUAAUGUAAUUUAAAUUAUAGAUUUUGAUAUAAAAAUUAGUGAAAAUACAGUAUUUGUUUUUUUUAAUAAAUAUUAAUUAAUUAUUAUAAAAGGAGGGGAAUUAAUUGAAAAAAAAAAAGAGUAGGGAAGAAAAUUUAAAACCAAAGAAGGAAAUGAGAAAAUAAAAGAAUGAGAGAAAAUGAGAUUGAGGAAAAUAAUCAACUAAUAAACAAUUAUCUUGUAUUGAAUACUUGCACCUAUCCUUACUGAUUGACUAAGAAACAAAGAAAACUUUAUUUUACUUACUGUCGUUUUCUGCAGACAUGAAUUCUCUUCUGAACAUCAAGGAAUCAGUCAGACUAUUUUAGAGAUUAUAAAGAUGAUGCAGUAGUGAAGGAAGAUUAUUCACAAACACCAUAGGAAAGCUUUUCUCACUUGUUUCUGGUGAUUUUCUUCAAUCAGUUCUUGGGGAAACAUGAGUUCAGCUCUUUCAACAGCUUCGGCCACCAGAAGGUAAAAUGACAAGCUGGCUUCUAAACUCUUUCAAUUUCUACAACAAUGAAAAAAAAAUUCAAAUACCCUUUUGCAGGCUAGAGGGCAAAGUAGCACUAAUUACUGGUGGAGCCAGUGGCAUAGGCGAGAGCACAGCUAGGCUAUUUAUCAAACAUGGAGCCAAGGUACUCAUCGCAGACGUUCAAGAUGAUCUUGGCCACUCACUCUGCCAAGAAUUCGACUCCCAAGAAACUCUCUCUUACAUCUACUGCGAUGUCACUUGUGAUUCUGAUGUUCAAAACGCUGUGGAUACUGCAGUCUCCAGGUAUGGAAAGCUCGACAUAAUGUUCAGCAAUGCAG
rnacentral:lncRNA from 1 species